rnacentral:rRNA from 1 species
UACGAAGGGGGCUAGCGUUGUUCGGAAUUACUGGGCGUAAAGCGCACGUAGGCGGAUCGAUCAGUCAGGGGUGAAAUCCCAGGGCUCAACCCUGGAACUGCCUUUGAUACUGUCGAUCUGGAGUAUGGAAGAGGUGAGUGGAAUUCCGAGUGUAGAGGUGAAAUUCGUAGAUAUUCGGAAGAACACCAGUGGCGAAGGCGACUAACUGGAUAUGUAUUGACGCUGAGGUGCGAAAGCGUGGGGAGCAAACAGG